GAGAAUGUGCCUUCGGGAACCGUGAGACAGGUGCUGCAUGGCUGUCGUCAGCUCGUGUUGUGAAAUGUUGGGUUAAGUCCCGCAACGAGCGCAACCCUUAUCCUUUGUUGCCAGCGAUUAGGUCGGGAACUCAAAGGAGACUGCCAGUGAUAAACUGGAGGAAGGUGGGGAUGACGUCAAGUCAUCAUGGCCCUUACGACCAGGGCUACACACGUGCUACAAUGGCGCAUACAAAGAGAAGCGACCUCGCGAGAGCAAGCGGACCUCAUAAAGUGCGUCGUAGUCCGGAUUGGAGUCUGCAACUCGACUCCAUGAAGUCGGAAUCGCUAGUAAUCGUGGAUCAGAAUGCCACGGUGAAUACGUUCCCGGGCCUUGUACACACCGCCCGUCACACCAUGGGAGUGGGUUGCAAAAGAAGUAGGUAGCUUAACCUUCGGGAGGGCGCUUACCACUUUGUGAUUCAUGACUGGGGUGAAGUCGUAACAAGGUAACCGUAGGGGAACCUGCGGUUGGAUCACCUCCUUACCUUAAAGAAGC
rnacentral:rRNA from 1 species